GUCCUGCUUUGGCUUCCCAGAGUGCUAGGAUUACAGGCAUGAACAACUGCACCUAGCCAGAUCUUCUAAUAGUUUUAACCAAAAGCAUCCUAACUGAUAACAUCUCUUUGCAAAAACUAUCUACAUAAAAUGAUGGUGACAGAAAUAAAAGAGCUGUAGAUGGGCUUUGGUGAAUGUCAAAGAACAGUGUAUCCUUUUUUGACUUCUUUUCUAGGACAAAGGUGAUAGAAGAACAGCUUAAGUCAUUCUUCCCCCAAUUUAUUAAUAUACCUUGGUAAACCAGCAUAGAAUUUUACCCACCAUGUUUCCUUCUCCCUUUUAUAACAUUAUGCAAUGUAGCUCUGUUGACUUUAGAUUUCCCUACUCAAAAAGGCAAAGCUAGAUAGUCUUCUGGAAGUUCCCUGUCCAAACUUCAUCAUCUCUCCUAGACCAGUGAAACUGCAAACUAACAUGCCUCUAUUUCCAUUCUUGCCCACUUUCAGUUGAUCUCUAAACAACAACCACAGCGAUUGCUCUUUAAGUGUAAAGAAAGUCAUAUUCAGAAGUGCCCAGUUGCUUCCACUGCACUCAGAAUUAAAUGUUUAAUAGGGUGUUUUGAUAGUCAAAUUAGAUCACAUUUGUAAAGAAUUUAGAACAGUACUUGACAAGUGUGAGCUCAAAAAAAAAA